rnacentral:rRNA from 1 species
GGAAUUUUGCACAAUGGACGAAAGUCUGAUGCAGCGACGCCGCGUGGGGGAUGAAUGCCUUCGGGUUGUAAACCCCUUUCAGGAGGGACGAAGCGAAAGUGACGGUACCUCCAGAAGAAGCCCCGGCCAACUACGUGCCAGCAGCCGCGGUAAUACGUAGGGGGCGAACGUUGUCCGGAUUUAUUGGGCGUAAAGAGCUCGUAGGCGGCUCAGCAAGUCGGCCGUGAAAACCCGGGGCUCAACCCCGGGA